rnacentral:rRNA from 1 species
UACGUAGGCAGCAAGCGUUGUUCGGAUUUACUGGGCGUAAAGCGCACGUAGGCGGAUCGUUAAGUCGGGGGUGAAAUCCUGGAGCUCAACUCCAGAACUGCCUUCGAUACUGGCGAUCUUGAGUCCGGAAGAGGUGAGUGGAACUCCUAGUGUAGAGGUGGAAUUCGUAGAUAUUAGGAAGAACACCAGUGGCGAAGGCGGCUCACUGGUCCGGUACUGACGCUGAGUGCGAAAGCGUGGGGAGCAAACAGGG